UUAGGAAAAAAUAUUUGCAUAUUUUUAUUUUCUCCGGAUUUUAUUUUUUUUUAAAAAUUAAACUAUCAUUUAUAUGAUUUCAUAUUUUUUCAAUUUAGUAUCAUAUGAUUUAAAAAUAUAUUAAUUUAAUAUUAUGUGGUUUUAUUUUUUUUUCAUCAGCUUUUUCGUUAAUAUUUUGUUAAAUUAUAUAAAUAAAUUUAUAAUAUUCUAUCUAAAUUUAUCGAAUAUUUAUUUUAGUAUUUUUUAGUUUUAACUUUAUUAAUGAUUUAACGAAAAAAAUAAAUAGUAAAAGAGAUAAUAAAAAAAAAUUAUGAGUACUAAAUUAAUAUAUUUUUAAAUGAUAUGAUAUUAAAAUAAAAAAUACAAAAUUACGGAAAUGGUAUUUGAAUUUUUUUUUUUUAAUUCGGGGGUCGUAGGUUGUA
rnacentral:lncRNA from 1 species